AACAUGAGAGGGGUAAGAUUUUAUGGGAACCUGAGGGGUAACUUGAGAGGAAGUAGUAUAGGCUGAUACUAUAACAACAUUUAAAAGACAUUUGGGUAGGUACAUGGAUAGGAAAGCGAUAGGGGCCAAAUGUGGGCAAUGGGAUUUACUUAGAUGAGGUAUCUUGGUCACUACGCAUGUGCUGGGCCGAAGGGCCUGUUUCUGUGCUGUAUGACUCAACUUUGAAAACUUGACAGCUCAUUUUACCCCCUGCGGUUUGGGGGUCUCCGAUGUGAUUGUGACCAGAACAAGUCCCAGUGAUGGUGGGUUAUACAAGGGUGGAGUCAGAGGUGAUUGAACUCCCUGCUGCUCUUGGAGAGAAUGGCGGUGGGACCUGCUAGCAUCUGAAGGCAGUGGAACCUCAGCGUGGUCUGAUCUGAGGACCAGUGCCUCUGACUAGAAGCUGCGAUGUUUCACUACCUCCUGAGUCAGGGGAAAUAUAUGGGGCGAGCGAAUGGUGUUUACAGUGGGGUCUUGCCAGCCAGGGAUCCCCUCCAGAGAGUGCCAUCUUCAUGCUGUUGUUCUGCAUCUGUGUAAGAUGUUGAUUAUGUAAUUAAUCCGUAUGGUUUUCAAACCAGGUCUGUCUGUGAAUGUGCACCUGUAGUGGGUAUCACUCACACUGGUCAUACAAUAGAAGGGGAAAUGUUUCCUUAAUAGGUUUACAUCAGUUUAUACUAAACAUCGGUGCAGCAAGUCAUCACUGGUGGUGUGGAUGGGGGAAAAGGGGAUGCAGGUUUCUGCAGCAGAAAUGGUCACCGUGCUCCUUUCCCUUCAAUAUCAUCCCCCGUUUAUAUGUUUCCUAUUUCCUCUGACCACAUGUCACUCCUCUUAUUUGACACCCUUUUUGUCUCCAGCCUUUGUCACUUCACCCAUUUUCUAAUUCCCCCCCCCUCGGCUGUACCCACCCAUCACUUGCCAAAGUUUGUCCCACCCCCACCUCUCUCCAACUUUCUAACCCCUUUCCCCCUGCUCUCAGUCUGAGGAAGGGUCCCAGCCUGAAAAGUCAUUCGUCCAUUUCCCUCCAUAGAUUUUGCCUGACCCGCUGAGUUCCUCCAGCACUUUGUGUUUGUCUCAGGAUUCCAGCCUCUGCAUUUCCUUGUGCCUCCACUGCAGUCCUGCCCUCUGCCCAGCAGGGUUCGCUGGCUAGAUUCCUGCCUCCACACAGCGACCACUCGGACUGGGUUCGGGAGGGUUUAAGAAUAAGGGGGUAAGCCAUUUAGAACGGAGAUGAGGAAAAACUUUUUCACACAGAAGGUUGUAAAUCUGUGGAAUUCUCUGCCUCAGAAGGCAUUGGAGGCCAAUUGGCUGGCUGCUCCCAAGAGAGGGUUAGAUAGAGCUCUUAAAGAUAGUGGAGUAAGGGGAUAUGGGGAGAAGGCAGGAAUGGGGUACUGAUAGUGGAUGAACAGCCAUGACCACAGUGAAUGGCGGUGCUGGCUUGAAGGGCCGAAUGGCCUACUCGUGCAUCUAUUGAUCUGCUGAAUUAUUCCAGCACCGCAUGUCUUUUUUAUGUAGACCAAUAUCCGCAGUGCUUUGUUUCUACAAAGAACAGUACAGCACAAUACCAGGCCCUUCAGCCCACAAUGUCUCUGCUGAACACGAUGCCAAGUUAAAAUAAUUUCAUUUGUCUGCACCUGAUCCAUAUCCCUCCAUUCCCUGCAUAUCCACGUGUCAUCUAAAAUCCUCUUAAAAGCCACUAUGAUAUCUGCCUCCGCCAACACCUCCAGCGGCACGUUCCAGGCACCCACCUCUCUCUGAAAUAAACUUGCAUCUCCUUCAAAUGUUGCCCCUCUCGUCUUAAAGCUAUGCCCUCUAGUCUAACAUUUGCAACCCUGGGAUAAAGGUUCUGGGUGUUUUAGGACACAAUGUGCUGGAGUAGCGCAGUUGGUCAGGCAGCAUCUCCAGACAAGUUGCCUGACCCGCUGAGUCACUCCAGUACUUUGUCUUUAUUUCUAAACCAGCAUCUGCAAAUCUUUGUGUCUCCCCUAUCUACGCCCCUUAGCCUCAUACGCUCCAGAGGAAACAAUCCCAAGUUUGUCCAACCUCCUUGGAGCUAAUACGCAGGCAGCUCUCGGCAGUGUGAUUCCCCCAAUUGUAAAAGCGCACACCUCUUCACUUCUGAACGUCUACUGUAAAGCAAAUUGCCUUCAGUUCGGGUUCAGUAAACCAUCUGAUCCAUGUCCCUCUGAGACCCUCUUUUGUGUGUGUCGGUGUCUGUGCAGAAGUCUCUGCCUCCGCCCUCUAUUGUGUGUCUGGGGCACUCACUGGUGUACAGAGAUCAGCCCAUACAGACUCCCGGAGGACUCGCAUUUCACCGAUAUGUCUGAGUCCCGCUCAAAUGACUUAAUUAUGAAGCUGUGUGUUUGUUGAAGGGCCAGUCCGCCCCGGUCAGAGGCGCAUUAAAUAUUAAACCCUCCUAUUAGCCGCCCUCUGCCGCUGCAUUUUAUCGCUACACCUCAUUCGUGGUGCCGCUGGGAUUGUCAGAGUUGCGGGAAGAGGGAGGGCCUCAGUGUGGGUGUGUGUACACUCCCUCUGGGGUGAGGACUGUGUGCCGUUCCGCUCUGUCCGAGCCAUGUUGGCCCGCGUUGGUUUUAACAUUUCAAGGGGUGUAGAAUUGAGCGCAUUUUUGAAUGCUGUGCGUGUGUUUGGAUUAAUUUAAAAAGUGUAAUAUAUUUUAAAAUC